AGAGUUUGAUCAUGGCUCAGGACGAACGCUGGCGGCGUGCUUAACACAUGCAAGUCGAACGGUAGGGCCCUUUCGGGGGUACACGAGUGGCGAACGGGUGAGUAACACGUGGGUGAUCUGCCCUGCACUUUGGGAUAAGCCUGGGAAACUGGGUCUAAUACCGGAUAGGACCGCGUUCUGCAUGGGAUGUGGUGGAAAGCUUUUGCGGUGUGGGAUGGGCCCGCGGCCUAUCAGCUUGUUGGUGGGGUGAUGGCCUACCAAGGCGACGACGGGUAGCCGGCCUGAGAGGGUGUCCGGCCACACUGGGACUGAGAUACGGCCCAGACUCCUACGGGAGGCAGCAGUGGGGAAUAUUGCACAAUGGGCGCAAGCCUGAUGCAGCGACGCCGCGUGAGGGAUGACGGCCUUCGGGUUGUAAACCUCUUUCAGUAGGGACGAAGCGUAAGUGACGGUACCUACAGAAGAAGCACCGGCCAACUACGUGCCAGCAGCCGCGGUAAUACGUAGGGUGCGAGCGUUGUCCGGAAUUACUGGGCGUAAAGAGCUCGUAGGUGGUUUGUCGCGUUGUUCGUGAAAACUCACAACUCAAUUGUGGGCGUGCGGGCGAUACGGGCAGACUGGAGUACUGCAGGGGAGACUGGAAUUCCUGGUGUAGCGGUGGAAUGCGCAGAUAUCAGGAGGAACACCGGUGGCGAAGGCGGGUCUCUGGGCAGUAACUGACGCUGAGGAGCGAAAGCGUGGGGAGCGAACAGGAUUAAAUACCCUGGUAGUCCACGCCGUAAACGGUGGGUACUAGGUGUGGGUUUCCUUCCUUGGGAUCCGUGCCGUAGCUAACGCAUUAAGUACCCCGCCUGGGGAGUACGGCCGCAAGGCUAAAACUCAAAGGAAUUGACGGGGGCCCGCACAAGCGGC
rnacentral:rRNA from 1 species